GCGACCAGAUUGUACGAAUAGGCUAGCUGUCAAACCGAUCAGCCUAUGCUUCUCGUGUGUGGAUAUGUGCGUCACCACGAGUGUGUGUGUCGACAUGUUGUCAUCGUAUAUCUGCCUUGUGUGGUUUUGUACCUAGCGUGAUUUGGCGUCCAAAACUAAAUAAACAUUCUGCAAUCGUUGUGAACAAUCUGGUUUGGUGUUACGGGUCAACUGUACAAAAUGUCGGCUCGAAGGGAAGCUUUGGAAAAGUCUGCUGAACAAGAAUCCGAAAAUGCUGACCCUGAUUCUACGGUUGAUUGUUUACAUACAACCAUACAGAAGACACAGAAGACAACCAAACAAUCGAUGUUGUUCCGAUUAUUGAAACACCGGAUGGUUAUACCGACAACACGUUUGAAGCAUCGCAUCUCGACGAAGACAAUGAUUGGCUGAGUCAAGCUGAUUAUGAAGACAAUGAUGAUCAAGACGAUGAUGAUGAUGAAGAGAUAAUAUCUUCCGGUGGAGUGUCUCAGUUUCGGAACGUGGAAUUGAAAGAAGCUUUGCAGUAUAGGGCGCUCACUACAUAAUAAUUGCGAUCAGCGGUAAACAUGAUGCUCGAAAUCUUUCAUGAGCUUGCCAUCUACAAACAUUUACCGAAAGAUGCACGGACAGUAUUGUAAAUUUCACGAACACCUUUGAAUAUCAAUGCAAUUGAAGGUGGCAGAUAUAUCUACAAUAGAGUAAAACUUUUGCUUGGUAAGUCGCCUUGAGUGAAUUUUGUUUGCCAUAAACGGCUGCACGAUCAACGGCUGCACAGCACAGUAUUUAGUGUGACCUUGCACGCAUUUAUAUGCGAUGUCCUGGCAAAAGCUUACUAUAAAGGUAAGUUGUUUCGUUGCUUUAUUUAACUUACAGCAUAAUUAUUGUUGAAUCAUAUUUCUAAUUUUAGGUGUCAUGUAUUUCAACGCAAAACAUGGAUGUUUGAAAUGUUGCACCGUGGGCAAACACAGCUCUAAGAA